rnacentral:rRNA from 1 species
AAGUCAGCAGUGAAAUACCUAAGCUUAACUUAGGAGACGCUGCUGAAACUAAUAAACUUGAGUCUGGGAAAGGCAAGCGGAAUUGCCGGUGUAGCGGUUAAAUGCGUUAAUAUCGGCAGGAACACCAAAUGCGAAAGCAGCUUGCUAGAACAGUACUGACGCUCAUGGACGAAAGCGUGGGUAGCGAAUGGGAUUAGAUACCCCAGUAGUCCACGCCGUAAACGAUGGAUACUAGACAUCGGAAGUAUCGACCCUUUCGGUGUCGUUUAACCAAGCUAAUGCGUUAAGUAUCCCGCCUGGGGAGUACGGCCGCAAGGCUAAAACUCAAAGGAAUUGACGGGGACCCGCACAAGCGGUGGAGCAUGUGGUUUAAUUCGACGAUAAGCGAGGAACCUUACCAAGGCUUGACAUCCAGCUGCACACCCUAGGAGAAUAGGGUUCCUUCGAGGGUGUUGGACAGCUGGUGCAUGGUUGCCGUCAGCUCGUGUCGUGAGAUGUACGGUUAAGUCCGGAAACGAGCGCAACCCUUGCCCUGAUUUAUAUAUUUAUCAGGGGACUGCCACGUAUAACCGUGGAGGAAGGUGAGGAUGACGUCAAAUCAGCAUGUCCCUUACGUCUUGGGCUACACACGUGCUACAAUGGCCAGUAUAACGGGGCGCCAAACCGCAAGGUGGAGCAAAUCCCAUCAAAGCUGGCCUCAGCUCGGAU